CCUACGGGGGGCUGCAGUGAGGAAUAUUGGUCAAUGGGCGCAAGCCUGAACCAGCCAAGCCGCGUGAGGGAUGACGGUCCUAUGGAUUGUAAACCUCUUUUGUCGGGGAGCAAGGCCCGCCACGUGUGGCGGGAAGGAGAGUACCCGAAGAAAAAGCAUCGGCUAACUCCGUGCCAGAAGCCGCGGUAAUACGGAGGAUGCGAGCGUUAUCCGGAUUUGUUGGGUUUACAGGGUGCGUAGGCGGAAGGUUAAGUCAGCGGUCAAAUGUCGGUGCUCAACACCGGCCUGCCGUUGAAACUGGUCUUCUUGAGUGAGCGAGAAGUAUGCGGAAUGCGUGGUGUAGCGGUGAAAUGCAUAGAUAUCACGCAGAACUCCGAUUGCGAAGGCAGCAUACCGGCGCUCAACUGACGCUGAGGCACGAAAGCGUGGGGAUCGAACAGGAUUAGAUACCCUGGUAGUC
rnacentral:rRNA from 1 species